CAUACCUCUGAUCAGAAAAGACUACCC
rnacentral:rRNA from 1 species